rnacentral:rRNA from 1 species
UACAGAGGGGGCAAGCGUUGUUCGGAAUUACUGGGCGUAAAGGGCGCGUAGGCGGCCUUCUAAGUCGAACGUGAAAUCCCUGGGCUCAACCCAGGAACUGCGUCCGAUACUGGAAGGCUUGAAUCCGGGAGAGGGAUGUGGAAUUCCAGGUGUAGCGGUGAAAUGCGUAGAUAUCGAGAGGAACACCAGUGGCGAAGGCGAGUCCCUGGACAACGACUGACACUGAGGCACGAAAGCUAGGGUAGCAAACGGG